rnacentral:lncRNA from 1 species
GGGGAGGGACUGCCGGCCUUGGGGCCUCGCAAGCCGAGCUCUGCCUCCAGAGAGGAGGAGGAGGAGGAGGAAGAGGAGGAGGAGGAGGAUGGGUCCGUCCCCCCAGCGCUUGCCAGGCUCCGUGUCCCGCUCAGCACCGGCACCAUCAUCCUCAUCCUCAGCGCAUGGGAAUGAAGGAGCAGAAUCUGGGCUGCCAGGUCAGCAAAGGGGGAUUUAAUCUCUGGGGCAGAUGAAGAAGCUCCGAAGAUUUUGAAGAAGCUCUGAAGAUUUUGAAGAAGCUCUGAAGAUAUUGAAGAAGCUCUGAAGACAUUGAAGAAGCUCUGAAGACAUUGAAGAGGCUCUGAAGAGACUGAAGCAGCUGAAGAGAUUCCUCUUUGCUGUCGACAGUCCCGGGGAGGAUUCUCCAGCAUGCCAGGCGACAGGAAUAAUUGGAAUAGUCAGAAAGUCUGGUGGUAGCAUGACCCAAGAGAGGGGAAGGAGGAUGAGGAGCUGGAGGCUCCCGAGGCUCCGUCAGCCAGGAAGAGCCGAGGCUCAGGAGCAGCAGGAGCAGGGUGGGCGUGGGGAGUGGUGUUUCACUUCUUCCUGG